ensembl:lncRNA
GGCAGGGCUCAGGAAGUCCCGCUACGCUGAUUAACACACACUCUGCUGUUCCUCGCUGUAGGAUGUUCUUUCAAAAAGGCUCUGCUGAGAGUUUUGCCGUUAUUCUUCCCAAAGCUUGCUUGGCGAUGUCGUUCGGCGCGGUCAUUGCUAUGGAAACCGGAUUGUUUGUUAACCAAGUUUAGCAGCUACCAACUGCUCAGUGCUAUGAUACGAGGGAGCGUAAGACACCUGGUGGGAACAAUACGUUGGCAGGGUUUCUUCUUUGCUGAUUCCGAAUGUCCGUUUGGGGUUCCGGGUUCCUGCAGAGCAGAAGACAGAGGCCAACAAGCUGGAGGACGUCAGUAAAACGCACACACAGCUACUAAAUAGAUUCACAUAAUAAGUGGAUUAGCCAUCAACAUGGUGCACAUCCACUUUCUGUUGGAGACUCACUUUUGACAAUUGUGUUUGGGGAUACUUCUGCAGUGGUCGGCUUGGCCAAGGGGACUUUACAGUAAUUACAUGUGACUACAUGUAACAGUCAAUGACAUAUUGGUUUGGGGUUUGUGAGACCCUGUGGUACGGAGACUGGAGCAGACGGGGUUGCAGGCUGUCAUGACCCUGCUGGGCAAAGAGCCUACCAUGAGCAGAAGCCAAGAGACUUUAGGGAUGGAUGAAAAGAGAGUUUGGCAAAGAAACAAGUGAAUACAAAAGUGUUCACAGUGCUCCAAAACUGAAUAGAGCCAAACCAGACGAGUGCAGAUUGUGUUGAGUAAUACUGAAGAAAGGAAAGAUUUAACCAGAAAGAAAGGGAUCACAGAUUGAGAGAGACACCAUUGGUAAGGUUCACUUUCCUCGUGAUAACGGCUUUAUCCAUUUUCAUUGGUUUUUGAAGAUUAUAACAACAAUAACCUCUCUUAAGCUCUUCUGUUGUCAAAUCUUCCUGUGAGGAACUGAAAGAGCUCUUUGUGCACACUCACACUGCAAUAACAUGCCUCAGAAGGAAUUUACAAAACUGAUUAUAUGAAAGCAAUUAGUAGGGUAGUUUUUACAGCUUUUGGCAUACAUUUUGUAUCAGAGACUUCUUACAAGAGGUUUGAACCUAAGCCCGUUUGCGUAUUGUUUUGUUUGUCUUUAGCAACUGCACUACUUUUCCCUCUUGCUCAUCACACUGCUGUGGAGUCUUUUAUUUAGAUAAAUCUACAUCGGGUAAAUCUACGCGGUUUUCUGACCUUAUGUCGCCUUGUGGCUGGCAGGUGAGUCUCUAGGCUAUAGAGCACUAUUGUGUUUUGUGUAUGUUGUUUAGUAUCUCUUAUUUGGGAACAUAAACAGCAUGAGUAUGAGCUGCUGCCUUCAAUUGUCUGUCUGUGAACGAGGUGCAUGUUUGUGUGUGUGUGUGUGUGUGUGUGUGUGUGUGUGUGUGUGUGUGUGUGUGUGUGUGUGUGUGUGUGUGUGUGUGUGUGUUGGAUCUGGAGGCCAAAUUACUGGCAAUUGUGUUGCGCAAUGAGCCUCCAGAGCGAGAAUAACAGAAGGACUUGGUGAGCAGCAUUGCUAUGGCCCAGAGAAGGCAGCAGGAGCUGCGAAGAUGAGAUCUUCAGGGUGUUCAGCUGGUAACAGUAAUUGUUGUUCUAUCUUGGUAGUGUUGAGCACAUUGUAAACAGCAGUAGUGAUACCAGUGAGAUCUGCCUCCCAGGGUUUUGGCGAAUGUAUUGAAGGCAUAGAGCAUAGAAGGCUCAUCAACAACGUAGUAGCACGACAUCUGCGCUGGUCAUCCAGGCUCAUCUCAGCGCACUACAGCAGUCCACGUUAUGUCUUUUUAAGGCAGAUGUCAUGUUCUUUAUGUCAACUAGUCCACAUGUGAAACCCACACCCUGAAUAUAAGGAAUCUAAUUGAAAUGUGUUACAUUUGUGAUGCAUAUAAACCUUAUGCCUUUCCUACGUUUAUAGAUGUUUUUCUAGCCGUGGUUGCAUUUCCGUGUAUAGUUUUUGUACGUGCGUCUGCUGUAGCAGGCGGCUGACAAGGCGACUGGUUCGCUGCUCGCAGCGGGAAGCUGGUGAACACCGUGCAGUCAUCAGAAGUGACGGCCACUGAAGUUUCAAUUAUAAGCCACCACCGUGUUUGUGGACAGUUUGAUGGGCACCUGUUUGCCUUCCCUGUCCAUAUUUAAAGAAGUAAUUGACAAAGGACGGCGUUAAUUUGCAUGUAAUUUUGUGAUUGCAGUAUGUUCAUAUAACAGGCCUUCGCCUAGUGAGCCUCCAUCCUUCUGGUUGAAAUGCUCGCUCACAGCCUUUAAUGCUGGAUAAUUCCGAUUAUAACCCUAUUUUGCAUGAUCAAUCACAUACAUGCACUGGGUUUGUUGAGUUACUUUAGCUCUGCCGGUGCACGAGUCUCGGACUGUUGUAGCUUCCAGGUGUGUGCAUCAUGGAUGAGACGCAGCUCCUUUUAUUCCCAAAGGACUGUAACACAGCUGAAGCCCCGACGGACAUGUAAAAUUUGAGUAGUGAUCCCCCUCAAAGACAUUUCAUUAACGUUGUGCUUCCAAAUAUAUCCCCGGUAAUUUUUAAGGAUUAUAUCUUCCAUAACUGCACUGUCCUCGCCAGCGAAUUUCUUGGUAUCCUUUCGGAGAGGCCGGGUGCGUUUGAUUGCGGCGCCGGUGAGUUUACUGAUACACUAAUCAAUAGACAGGCGUGGUUAUAAGCACUAGAUGAGGCAGAUCCGACGGACGGCCCCGGUGCCAGUCGGCUGGUAGGCUCCAGCUGGAACAACAUCACAGAGCUGCAUAAGCUACCCAGCUUCCAUGCCAUCGUGGCCCCCUUUGAACAGCGCCCCGGAGACCGGGAGCUCCGGUUCGCCGCUGCUGAGCCAAGGAACGCCACACUGGGACGUUUUCCUUUGGUGUUGCAUUCAAAAUGGGAAGAAAAACUGUAAUGUGCUCCAGAAGAUGCCGGUAGUUUGCUCUCUGCACGUUCGUCUCCUCUUUCAUUGUUAACAACUUUGCGUCUCUUUGUUCUGUUUUUGACAUUUGACUGUUACCUUAUCUGAUCCUCGCUGCUUCUCCUAUUUUAAAUGGAGAGAAAAUGUAGUUUGUGUAUCCCAUUUGCGUGAUUCCAUUUGGUUGUGGCUCACCCGAGACCUUCCAGCUUGUUGGCUCGUCCAUUUUCACAUUUCUUUCUUUGUCCUCCCUGCAGCCAGCUGAGGCCUCAGGUAUGUAUCACGUCCACGCCCCAUCGCCCCAAAUAGCUGUUGCUUUGUUUCUGCUCCCUGCUCGUCAUUCAGUAGCUUUAUAGUGUUAUUUCCUUCUUCCCCAACUUUUUUUUUUGUUUGACGUACUUAUACAUUGGAGUAUGCAUUUUCUAGUUUUAAUAGGAACCAGAAAUCCACAAGCACACAACAAGUACACAUUAGUAUUAAUAUACACAUUCAAUAUUUGAACAGGAUAUAGCCGCGCAUAAUGCAAGCCCAAUUCUUUCCUGCCAGCUCCCUCGUGGAUGUCUGGGAUGUGCGAGCUGGCGGAGCAGCCUCAUAUGUAGAUUCCUUCUUAACCUUCAAAAUCUGGCUCAGCCGUUUAUCAUAUUUGUGCUAUUUGCUCCACUUCGCCACUGCUAUCAUUAGGCACCGUUUACCAUUGUUAAUAACAAAGGUAGAUUUGGUUUGUUACCCACACACAAAACAACAAACCUCCGGCACUAGAUCCUUGAAUUAUUGAAGGCCACAUGUGUCCGCAGGAUAAUUGCCCCUUUUCAGCCUCUCGGUGACUACUUAGAAGUUGCCAAUAGUCACCACAAUACAUCAGACAUUUUAAAAAUCUCCAUAGAAGUUCCUUGUACACGCCGCUUUGAUUCCCUAGACAUUUAUUACAGUCGGAUAUAAAUCUCACAUCCAAAAGAACAGUUACAGCUGAAGGCAGAAAGAUCUUUUUAUAUUCUGCCCGUAUGAGAUCCCCUUUAGACUAAUGACAGUUGAUGACAAUUUAGUUCAAAUGCAAUAUACUAAGUCCUACUUUCUCUCCAUUUUAUAUGUACUGCUUCCAUCUACUUCCUCCAGCAUAGAUAUAUCGGUCUAUGGUCUGUAUCUUGCGUAUAUAAGUCAGCCCCCCCCAGCGAGGUGAGCGUCUGCUACGUCCGUACCUGGACGAAUACGAUCUGCAUGCAGUCGACCUGAAGAAAGCACAAUGACACUUCAACUGCCUGCUCAAGUUUCUCCCAGGUUGCAGAGUGCCAGCACCACCAAGUGCACGAUACAAUUAUUACAGUUAAAGAACUGCAAAUAUAUAAUAAUAUGUAGAACAUUUUGUGAGAUUGUCAGAAACUGUGUUACAAAUAUUGAACUGUCUAUGACAUGUAUUACAUGCAAUGUAAAAAGCAUGUCCUGUGAUUUCUCAGCCUCAUCUGCCUACACAUACCAGUGUACAUGGUGUGCCAUGUGUAUCUUUAGGUGAUUCUCAGGGGUUAUUUUAUCAAGUGAUUUUUAUGGUUCAUUUCAUUAAAAUACAUCUAAUUAAAGGCUAAUUCUUUUAUAUUCACCACAACUAAGAUAUAACAACACUGAGAUCAUGGCCGCGUCAAAGGCAAAGGCGUUUGUAGUCAAUAUUGAUAUGAUUGACAUGUAUUUGACAUUGGCUCUAUUUCUUCUUUUUUUUAACGGGCUGUUUCUAAGGCCAAAUAGUCAAUACCCAGAAUAACCACUAGUUUUUUUUUUAAGUGGCUCCCUUCAUGAAGCCAAUGCCCAUAUUUGAAAGAUUUCUCCCAGCAAUACUGAGACAUCAAUAUGGUUCAACAACCCUAGCAGAUAGUCAUCAGUUUAAUGAUGUACAGAUACAACCUGUGUUUCUUUAUGGAGAACACUGCGCUUUCAAGUUUUAGGACAGGUCGCCAUUAGAUGAUUAAAACCUGGACCUUGCUUUUAUGAUUCCAUACAGACUCCUGAGUGCUAAGGCUGAUAUUAAAAUAACAAAUGUUCUGUUAGUCCCAGAAAAAGAUCAGAACACUUAACUCACCAUAAAACUCAAAUGGUUUCAUUAUAACUCGCGUUGGUCUCACUCAGGUUCCAUUUAAACAUAUAAUUAACCACAUGUCGCUUGGAUAAAUCUCUAAACUUAUAUCCACUCACAUCAAGCCAGAAAUUACUGUUUGAAAGUUGCCUCAAAGGAUUCAAUUGUGUGUUCUCCAUUAAAAGAAAUGAUAGUGAAAGCAUGGCCUUUAAGGGUGCCUUUAAUGUUAUGUUAGUGUAAUAGUGCGGACAAAUUCAGUGAAUUGUCCAUUGACUUUUAGCGAUGUAAUCUCAUCAUCCAGCUCCUUUUAUAGAGAUGCUUGGGGUCGUUGGGGUAUGACUGUUGUUGUAGACUGUCAGUAUUUUGGAAAUGAUUGUCAAGCGGCUCAGCCUGAACUAUUAUUAGUCCACCGAUUGUAUGCAGCUCAAUGAUCUGGCUCUGCUUUUGUUUCAGGUAUUUAAGCUCUUUGGCAGACCGUUGUGGGAAGAUCUUUCUGUGAGGGCUCCGGUCCGUCCUCCGAAAAACAAUCUCAAUCAUCUUCUUGCUCCAGCAACAGUGUGGGAGCAAAUCUUUGCGUCUGCGUGUCAUAAAAACUGUAGCUCAAUGUGUAUAAUUAUCCUUUGAAACAAAUCGUUUGAGAGGUUUAUGGACGUGUGUUUCAUAUGCUGUCGAGUAGAAAGGAGAAAAACUGCACAUUAAUUGUUGACUGACGGAUGAAAAUGGGAAGCAGCGUGAAAUCGAGUCGGCCAACAUUUAGCAAAGUGGCAGCAGAACAAACGGACGUGGUUGCCAAAGACAUUGAUCAAAAUGUUUCUGUUUGUCGUGAGUGAACAGCUAGCAGCUGAAAUGGGUUCUAUUUUCAUAGGCAGGUUUUCUGUUGGGUUGAAUAGAUAUAACGGAGAUGGAAAGAAAUGAAAGUCCGUUUUGGGGAGAGCUCUUUAGAUCUUUGCAGGUACACAGUGUUCAUUGCAGCGUAUCAGCACUGGGUUGGGUUGACCUAGAGCGAGAGUAAAUUACCGUGACGUGGCGAGACAUUAGCCUGUUCCUCAGCUAAAAUGAUUUGCAAUUGUCAAUUCCUACAGAAGUAUGAGGUCCGAGACGAUUUUCCAGCAUCAAAUUGGGCUUGUCCAACCAAUCAUACAAGAGUAUUUAAUAUGUCAAUGAGAAAACGCAAACCAGUGAUUUUAAGAGAAUACCUUCUACGUAGGGAGGAGCCCUAAAGAUGCAAACCAGCAACAAUAGGCACAUCCGCGGUACCUCUAUGAGGUGCACAGUGAUCUUAACCAGAGCAGGAAUCAGAAAUGACUGCAAAAUGAAAAUAACAAAAGGAGGUAGAAAUGACAGAUGUGUUGUGUGUCUGUUACUGUUUAAGCGCGUGUGUGUGUGUGUGUGUGUGUGUGUGUGUGUGUGUGUGUGUGUGUGUAAAAGCUUCUCCCUGGCAAAGAUGGAGAGGGAUCAAAGGCUUAGCUGUGAUGCAGUCCAGCUGGUAGGACACCUUCUGCUUCAUCUAUGACGCCACCACCGCAGGAGAAGCUUUCCACCUCUGAUAAUGUUCAGAUGGUGCACGUGCACACACUGCAAGCAGCAGCAAGAGGGGUCACACCUCCUGAAGUGAGAAGUGAGACUGCACCUGCUCUCAUGAAGUGGGCGGACUGACGACGGUGCACAAGUGCUGCAACAAUCAAUAACGCUAAGACGGCUUCUGUUUUGGGGAUGUGCGUCGACUGGAAUCCCGACUUGGCUGGUGAGGAGAGAACACAGCCUGCUGUCAGCCUGGGUCAAGGGGCCAGACAAGAUUCUGGCUACACACACGUGUGUGUGUGCGUGUGCGUGCAAGCAACCAGGGGUCAUUCAGGGCAGCUUGAGUUUCUCUUCAAGUGUCUGAGUUGGUCCUCAUUAUCGGCUGCUGCGCGUGAAAGCAGGGGCGCACCCUUCCCCGAAGCCCCCUCGGCAGCGUGGAGCAGAAAUCUGUGCCAGCAACUCCAUCAGUUUGCAUGUUCUGGCUCCCCCGGGUUCCCCCACCGCCGCGCCGCAGUCCUCUGCUCCGGAUGGUCUGACACCGUUAGGAAAUGCGUGUGGCCAUCGGUCACAGAUCCCGAUGAGGGAUGGACGGAUGAGACGCACCCCGCUAACGGGAUUCCAAUGUGAAGGAAUUAAUAAUAGCUACAAUUCGCUUUCACCAGCUUUCACUGACAUUAUGUUCUGUAUGUAACAUUUGGUCCAACCAACAAAUCAACAUGGCGUCGAGCUGUCCUCCUGCUGGAUGUCCAAGGUGACUCCCUCCACACACGGUUCCAUAAGGAUUCCAUCGGACCUCUUUUCUUUCUGAGCCAUUAACUUUCCGCUGUCAUCUGCACUUUCCAUUACAUUUUUCAUUUCUACCGAAACAUUGACUAUUGUUGUCGCUAUUUUUUUUGCAUGUCGCUUUGCGCCUCUCCCCUCCCACGCCUCAAAUCUGCCCUUCAAUGCUUUUACCUGAGCAAUUAAAAAAUCAGAUUUCGACCAUGGUGAAAAGUGUUUUCAUUUGUCACGUUUUUCCCGCUUCAAAGUAGCUGUCAUUGUUUAGCUCUUUACCUCUCACUCACUUCCCUAACAGCUCCUCUGUGCUCACCCACGUUCCUCUCCCCUUUUCCUCGCUGUGCUACUCCGAAACCAACGCACACUUCCGGCUCCUCUUGUCUUUCAUACUGCUUCCCUUUCGUUCCCUCUGUCCACUCUCUCUCUCUCUCUCUCCAUCUCAGCCUCAUCCCUCUCUCCUAGCUCCUCUCUUUCCCCUGUAGACCUCAACCUUUCCCUUGUUGUAGCCCCUCUUACUCCUUUUUACAGUUUGAUUACCUGAUUGGCACGGCAGUGCGUCAUGAACCAAAGCAGUAGGGCAGGCGGUCACCUCCAAAGUGUCGAUAUCUCUCACCUUACGGGCCCAUCCCUUUUCUGGCCACUCAUUGCCACCGUUCACAUAGUUACUCCCCAUUGCUUCCUGUUCAUUCGCACUGCGUGAUGUCAUGCUUUGUAGUUUUGCUGUCUCAUCUGUGUCACCACUUCCUGGUGCGUGCGGGUGGGACAGGCUGGGCACAGGAACCAGAUUUCAAAUUCAAAUUAUAAUUGAACAUACUUCUUAUAUCUGUGGUAUUUUGUAAUACAGGUCCUCACACCCGGGCUUUAACAAUAAAUGGAACCCCCCC